AAUCUCGGCAUCGAGACUGGAUGAAAGGUGGCCUCUAUUUAUAAGCUAUCACUGAAGGAGGGGAUUGCGUCUGAUUAGCUAGUUGGAGGGGUAACGGCCCACCAAGGCGAUGAUCAGUAGCCGGUCUGAGAGGAUGAACGGCCACAUUGGGACUGAGACACGGCCCAGACUCCUACGGGAGGCAGCAGUGGGGAAUCUUCCGCAAUGGACGAAAGUCUGACGGAGCAACGCCGCGUGAGUGAUGACGGCCUUCGGGUUGUAAAGCUCUGUUAAUCGGGACGAAUGGUUCUUGUGCGAAUAGUGCGAGGAUUUGACGGUACCGGAAUAGAAAGCCACGGCUAACUACGUGCCAGCAGCCGCGGUAAUACGUAGGUGGCAAGCGUUGUCCG
rnacentral:rRNA from 1 species